UGGUCUGAGAGGACGACCAGCCACACUGGGACUGAGACACGGCCCAGACUCCUACGGGAGGCAGCAGUGGGGAAUUUUGGACAAUGGGCGAAAGCCUGAUCCAGCAAUGCCGCGUGCAGGAUGAAGGCCUUCGGGUUGUAAACUGCUUUUGUACGGAACGAAAAAGCUUCUCCUAAUACGAGAGGCCCAUGACGGUACCGUUAGAAUAAACACCGGCUAACUACGUGCCAGCAGCCGCGGUAAUACGUAGGGUGCGAGCGUUAAUCGGAAUUACUGGGCGUAAAGCGUGCGCAGGCGGUUAUGUAAGACAGAUGUGAAAUCCCCGGGCUCAACCUGGGAACUGCAUUUGUGACUGCAUGGCUAGAGUAAGGUAGAGGGGGAUGGAAUUCCGCGUGUAGCAGUGAAAUGCGUAGAUAUGCGGAGGAACACCGAUGGCGAAGGCAAUCCCCUGGGACCUGUACUGACGCUCAUGCACGAAAGCGUG
rnacentral:rRNA from 1 species